rnacentral:rRNA from 1 species
GUCUGCUACCUCUUACCCAUGUCUUUUGAGUACCUUCGUUUCCUCGGCGGGUCCGCCCGCCGGUUGGACAACAUUCAAACCCUUUGCAGUUGCAAUCAGCGUCUGAAAAAACUUAAUAGUUACAACUUUCAACAACGGAUCUCUUGGUUCUGGCAUCGAUGAAGAACGCAGCGAAAUGCGAUAAGUAGUGUGAAUUGCAGAAUUCAGUGAAUCAUCGAAUCUUUGAACGCACAUUGCGCCCCUUGGUAUUCCAUGGGGCAUGCCUGUUCGAGCGUCAUUUGUACCUUCAAGCUCUGCUUGGUGUUGGGUGUUUUGUCUCGCCUCCGCGCGCAGACUCGCCUUAAAACAAUUGGCAGCCGGCGUAUUGAUUUCGGAGCGCAGUACAUCUCGCGCUUUGCACUCAUAACGACGACGUCCAAAAGUACAUUUUUACACUCUUGACCUCGGAUCAGGUAGGGAUACCCGCUGAACUUAAGCAUAUCAAUAAGCGGAGGAAAC